GACAUGGUGGCAUAGUGGUUAGCAUAUUUGUCUCACACCUCUGGGGUUGAGGGUUCAAAUCCCUCCUCUGUCC